rnacentral:rRNA from 1 species
UACGGAGGGUGCAAGCGUUGUUCGGAUUUACUGGGCGUAAAGCGCGCGUAGGCGGACCUGCAAGUCGGGGGUGAAAGCCCGAGGCUCAACCUCGGAACUGCCUUCGAUACUGCGGGUCUCGAGUCCGGGAGAGGUGAGUGGAAUUCCUAGUGUAGAGGUGAAAUUCGUAGAUAUUAGGAAGAACACCAGUGGCGAAGGCGGCUCACUGGCCCGGUACUGACGCUGAGGCGCGAAAGCGUGGGGAGCAAACAGG